rnacentral:tmRNA from 1 species
GGGGACGCGUGGUUUCGACAGGGAAUUUAUGAGGCGGGGUUGCAGGUCGAGGACCAUAAAACUCGUNAAAAAAUGGAAAAAAAUUAACUGACAAUAAACAGUUAGCUUUAGCAGCUUAAUUACUGCUACAUUGUAUUAUUNUUCCCCCGAGAGAAUAAUAUGAUGACGAAAAUCGGGGUAUAACUCUGAAAGACCGAUAGUUCAGAGAAGAAAUUUAAUCGGAAAGCUUGAAUAAACUCUUUCUGAUUGAAGUCUUCAAGCUUAAUAUCAAUCAGAUAAACCUGUAGACACUCUAGCUAAGUGUUUUCUGGACGGGGAGUUCGACUCUCCCCCGUCUCCACCA